rnacentral:lncRNA from 1 species
GUGUGCACUCCUUUUAAUAAUAGUUGUCCUUCUGUCCAGCCACAUACAACUUCCACAACAGCUUCCAUAUCAAGCACUUCUCCCCCUUUUUAGUCAAAAUUGACCAAAGGUGACCAAUUAGACAAAAUAAAUGUCUAUUAGCCUAGCAGAGAAUGUUCGAUCAGACGUUAUAACAUUAAGCAUGUUAAAACUAAAUAUUUAGGAAGUACACACCAUAAUUAAACACAGUUGUGAUAGCUGGAAUAAUGAACAAAUCCAAGGAACUCCUUAAGAGCCCUAAAUAUUACAUAACAAGCAUCAAUAAGGACUGCCACAAAAUACAAAAAAAACCAAAAAAACACCAGUCUUUCAAACAGCAGACCAACUUCCACCAAACUUUCCA